rnacentral:rRNA from 1 species
UACGUAGGGUGCGAGCGUUAAUCGGAAUUACUGGGCGUAAAGCGUGCGCAGGCGGCUUUGCAAGACAGAUGUGAAAUCCCCGGGCUUAACCUGGGAACUGCACUUGUGACUGCAUGGCUGGAGUACGGCAGAGGGGGAUGGAAUUCCGCGUGUAGCAGUGAAAUGCGUAGAUAUGCGGAGGAACACCGAUGGCGAAGGCAAUCCCCUGGGCCUGUACUGACGCUCAUGCACGAAAGCGUGGGGAGCAAACAGG